UACAGAGGUCUCAAGCGUUGUUCGGAUUCAUUGGGCGUAAAGGGUGCGUAGGUGGCUGGGUAAGUCAGGUGUGAAAUCUCGGAGCUCAACUCCGAAACUGCACUUGAUACUGCCUGGCUCGAGUACUGGAGAGGAGAUUGGAAUUUACGGUGUAGCAGUGAAAUGCGUAGAUAUCGUAAGGAAGACCAGUGGCGAAGGCGAAUCUCUGGACAGUUACUGACACUGAGGCACGAAGGCCAGGGGAGCAAACAGG
rnacentral:rRNA from 1 species